rnacentral:rRNA from 1 species
AGAGUUUGAUCCUGGCUCAGGACGAACGCUGGCGGCGUGCCUAAUACAUGCAAGUCGAGCGGACAGAUGGGGGCUUGCUCCCUGAUAUUAGCGGCGGACGGGUGAGUAACACGUGGGUAACCUGCCUGUAAGACUGGGAUAACUCCGGGAAACCGGGGCUAAUACCGGAUGGUUGUUUGAACCGCAUGGUUCAGACAUAAAAGGUGGCUUCGGCUACCACUUACAGAUGGACCCGCGGCGCAUUAGCUAGUUGGUGAGGUAACGGCUCACCAAGGCGACGAUGCGUAGCCGACCUGAGAGGGUGAUCGGCCACACUGGGACUGAGACACGGCCCAGACUCCUACGGGAGGCAGCAGUAGGGAAUCUUCCGCAAUGGACGAAAGUCUGACGGAGCAACGCCCCGUGAGUGAUGAAAGUUUUCCGAUCGUAAAGCUCUGUUGGUAAGGAAGAACAAGUGCCGUUCAAAUAAGGCGGCACCUUGACCGUACCUAACCAGAAAGCCACGGCUAACUACCUGGCAGCAGCCGCGGUAAUACCUAAGUGGC